rnacentral:rRNA from 1 species
UACAGAGGGUGCGAGCGUUAAUCGGAAUUACUGGGCGUAAAGCGUGCGUAGACGGUAGCGUAAGUCAGAUGUGAAAGCCCCGGGCUCAACCUGGGAACUACAUUUGAGACUGCUCUGCUCGGGUGCGGAAGAGGGAAGCGGAAUUUCCGGUGUAGCGGUGAAAUGCGUAGAUAUCGGAAGGAACACCAGUGGCGAAAGCGGCUUCCUGGUCCGACACCGACGUUCAGGCACGAAAGCGUGGGGAGCAAACAGG